rnacentral:lncRNA from 1 species
CAGGGAUCACAAGAGAGCAUGCUUCCACUCUGACUCCCCGUGUCUGGACAGAAGACAGCAUCCGUGUACAACAAGGAAAAAGGCUCUUGCUAAAGCCAUCAUGCCCCCUGGUCUCAUACUCCUAACCCCCCAAGCAGGUAAGACUCACUCUCUGAUCUUCAUGAGCCAUCGUUGUGGGUCCCUGUCACAGGUGAAUGACUAGGAGAGAAGCCCUCCGUCCCCACACAUCACUAACUGAAGGCGCCUUUUCUACUUGGGUUUUGCUGGACACAGCAGAUUCUUCUGUUUCUUCCUCUCCACCAAUGAUGCUAUUGGAGCUCCAUGCCUUAAGGCACCCGCGGCACUCACAGCGCAAGGAGGUGAGUUUACAGGAGAUGCCAGCUCUGAAGCAUAAAACAGGAGCUCCGUCCGCUCAACAGGCCAGGAGCCCACCGGAGCCAGAGCCAGAGCCCACAGUCCCCCUGCCCAGUGGUCCAGGUCCCCUCCACGCAGUGCAUUGUUUUCUGGUGGGCACCAUGGUUGAAACCAUAUUCUCAAAGAAACUCUGUUUUGUCACAAGGCCCCCAUCCACAGGCUCAGCCACAUGACAGGCCCAGAAGCAGCCAGCACAACUGCCGGCGAUGCCUGCCAACAAGCCAGAUGCUGCCGCACAUUGGCAUCUGGGUCCUGGAAUAGCAAGCAAGCUCUCAGUCUGGCUAGGGAUUCUGACCCCAGCUUCGGAAGGAGACAAAAACAGGGAAGAAAGAGUGGGACGAGGGGAGGGAGGUCGACUGGGGAAAGCUCUCUUGGUAAUUUCCCUACGGUGGAUUUAGAGCUAACAAAAGUCUCCUUGGAAAGCUGCUCCAGGAGCCGCAAUGGUGGAAGAAGUGAGAAUGAAGAGAGCGAGCGAGCAUCCUGGCACCUGGGAAGUGGGGGUGGCUGCUUCUAAAGGAGACAGCUGCAGCAGGCAGCUUCUCUCCCUCCUGUCCUCCAGCCAUGAUGGCCCACGGUGGGGCUAAGCUUUGUGGGACAUGGCUGUAAUCUGCAGCAGGGGACAGAGAAGCAGUAUCGGUGGCUGUCGAGCCUGCUCUCCAGGUGCCAAGGCUCACCACAGCCAGCCAGGCCAACUGAGUGGAGAGAGCCAGAUCCAGACCCCAUUCAGAAGGGAACCUUACAGUCAGAAAAGGUGCAGUCAGUGGGUUCUGUCCUCAGAUACAGGGUGAAGGGGACAGGAAGCCUCCAGUGCUGUGGGGUCACACAGAUGGAGGCUGAGCUCAGGGGAGGCCAAGGCUCAGUGUAUGGUGGGGAGUGAAACAGGAAAAUAAAAAGCAAACAGCAGUCCUUUCCUAAAACA